rnacentral:tRNA from 1 species
GUCAGCAUGGCCGAGUGGUCUAAGGCGCCUAACUCUAGUUCUGAACUUCGUUAUGGGGCGAGGGUUCGAACUCCACUGCUGACA